rnacentral:tRNA from 1 species
GCGUCCGUAGCUCAGCUGGAUAGAGUACCUGGCUACGAACCAGGCGGUCAGAGGUUCGAAUCCUCUCGGA